rnacentral:rRNA from 1 species
GAUGAACGCUGGCGGCGUGCCUAAUACAUGCAAGUCGAGCGAACAGACGAGGAGCUUGCUCCUCUGACGUUAGCGGCGGACGGGUGAGUAACACGUGGAUAACCUACCUAUAAGACUGGGAUAACUUCGGGAAACCGGAGCUAAUGCCGGAUAAUAUAUUGAACCGCAUGGUUCAAUAGUGAAAGACGGUUUUGCUGUCACUUAUAGAUGGAUCCGCGCCGCAUUAGCUAGUUGGUAAGGUAACGGCUUACCAAGGCAACGAUGCGUAGCCGACCUGAGAGGGUGAUCGGCCACACUGGAACUGAGACACGGUCCAGACUCCUACGGGAGGCCGCAGUAGGGAAUCUUCCGCAAUGGGCGAAAGCUUGACGGAGCAACGCCGCGUGAGUGAUGAAGGUCUUCGGAUCGUAAAACUCUGUUAUUAGGGAAGAACAAAUGUGUAAGUAACUAUGCACGUCUUGACGGUACCUAAUCAGAAAGCCACGGCUAACUACGUG